rnacentral:rRNA from 1 species
CGCGUAGGUAACCUGCCUUGUAGCGGGGGAUAACUAUUGGAAACGAUAGCUAAUACCGCAUAACAAUGGAUGACACAUGUCAUUUAUUUGAAAGGGGCAACUGCUCCACUACAAGAUGGACCUGCGUUGUAUUAGCUAGUAGGUGAGGUAAUGGCUCACCUAGGCGACGAUACAUAGCCGACCUGAGAGGGUGAUCGGCCACACUGGGACUGAGACACGGCCCAG